rnacentral:rRNA from 1 species
AUUGAACGCUGGCGGCAGGCCUAACACAUGCAAGUCGAACGGUAACAGCAAGAAGCUUGCUUCUUUGCUGACGAGUGGCGGACGGGUGAGUAAUGUCUGGGAAACUGCCUGAUGGAGGGGGAUAACUACUGGAAACGGUAGCUAAUACCGCAUAACGUCGCAAGACCAAAGAGGGGGACCUUCGGGCCUCUUGCCAUCGGAUGUGCCCAGAUGGGAUUAGCUAGUAGGUGGGGUAACGGCUCACCUAGGCGACGAUCCCUAGCUGGUCUGAGAGGAUGACCAGCCACACUGGAACUGAGACACGGUCCAGACUCCUACGGGAGGCAGCAGUGGGGAAUAUUGCACAAUGGGCGCAAGCCUGAUGCAGCCAUGCCGCGUGUAUGAAGAAGGCCUUCGGGUUGUAAAGUACUUUCAGCGGGGAGGAAGGGAGUAAAGUUAAUACCUUUGCUCAUUGACGUUACCCGCAGAAGAAGCACCGGCUAACUCCGUG